rnacentral:rRNA from 1 species
GAUGAACGCUGGCGGCGUGCCUAAUACAUGCAAGUCGAGCGAACAGACGAGAGUGCUUGCACUCUCUGACGUUAGCGGCGGACGGGUGAGUAACACGUGGGUAACCUACCUAUAAGACUGGGAUAACUUCGGGAAACCGGAGCUAAUACCGGAUAAUAUUUAGCUUCGCAUGAAGCAAUAGUGAAAGACGGUUCUGCUGUCACUUAUAGAUGGACCCGCGGUGUAUUAGCUAGUUGGUGAGGUAACGGCUCACCAAGGCAACGAUACAUAGCCGACCUGAGAGGGUGAUCGGCCACACUGGGACUGAGACACGGCCCAGACUCCUACGGGAGGCAGCAGUAGGGAAUCUUCCGCAGUGGACGAAAGUCUGACGGAGCAAUGCCGCGUGAGUGAAGAAGGUUUUCGGAUCGUAAAACUCUGUUGUAAGGGAAGAACAAGUACGUUAGUAACUGAACGUACCUUGACGGUACCUUACCAGAAAGCCACGGCUAACUACGUG